CUUGUGUACUCACUAUGUUGCUUUGGCGGGUCGACCUGGUUCCGACCCAGGCGGCCGGCGCCCCCAGCCUUAACUGGCCAGGACGCCCGGCUAAGUGCCCGCCAGUAUACAAAACUCAAGAAUUCAUAUUGUGAAGUCCUGAUAUAUCAUUUAAUUGAUUUAAAACUUUCAACAACGGAUCUCUUGGUUCUGGCAUCGAUGAANAACGCANCGAAAUGCGAUAAGUAAUGUGAAUUGCANAAUUCAGUGAAUCAUCNAAUCUUUGAACGCACAUUGCGCCCUCUGGUAUUCCGGAGGGCAUGCCUGUUCGAGCGUCAUUUCAACCCUCAAGCUCUGCUUGGNAUUGGGCAACGUCCGCU
rnacentral:rRNA from 1 species